CCUACGGGUGGCAGCAGUGAGGAAUAUUGGUCAAUGGCCGAGAGGCUGAACCAGCCAAGUCGCGUGAGGGAAGACGGCCCUACGGGUUGUAAACCUCUUUUGUCGGGGAGCAAAGCGAGUCACGUGUGACUCAUUGAGAGUACCCGAAGAAAAAGCAUCGGCUAACUCCGUGCCAGCAGCCGCGGUAAUACGGAGGAUGCGAGCGUUAUCCGGAUUUAUUGGGUUUAAAGGGUGCGCAGGCGGAGGUGCAAGUCAGCGGUCAAAUUGCGGGGCUCAACCCCGUACUGCCGUUGAAACUGCAUCCCUUGAGUGCGCGAGAAGUAUGCGGAAUGCGUGGUGUAGCGGUGAAAUGCUUAGAUAUGACGAAGAACCCCGAUUGCGAAGGCAGCUUGCUGCAGCGGAACUGACGCUGAUGCUCGAAAGCGCGGGUAUCGAACAGGAUUAGAUACCCUAGUAGUC
rnacentral:rRNA from 1 species